UAACCAAGGCCGUAAGGUUUUGCUGAGCGUGCAGGAGUCAGCAGAGGUCAUAGUGCGUGAGUAAGGGACGCCUGAAAGAGGGAAGGGC
rnacentral:ncRNA from 1 species